rnacentral:rRNA from 1 species
GACGAACGCUGGCGGCAUGCCUAAUACAUGCAAGUCGAACGAUGAUAUCACUGCUUGCAGUGAUUGAUUAGUGGCGAACGGGUGAGUAACACGUGAGGAACUUGCCCAUGAGCGGGGGACAACAUUCGGAAACGGAUGCUAAUACCCCAUAGGUGGAUUGGUCGCAUGACGAAUUCAUUAAAGGUGGCUCUGCUACCACUCAUGGAUAGCCUCGCGGCGUAUUAGCUAGUUGGUAAGGUAAUAGCUUACCAAGGCAGUGAUACGUAGCCGACUUGAGAGGGUGAUCGGCCACACUGGGACUGAGACACGGCCCAGACUCCUACGGGAGGCAGCAGUAGGGAAUCUUCCACAAUGGGUGCAAACCUGAUGGAGCAAUGCCGCGUGAGUGAAGAAGGUCUUCGGGUCGUAAAGCUCUGUUGUUAGAGAAGAACACGUGCUAGGUAACUACUAGCGCCUUGACGGUAUCUAACCAGAAAGUCACGGCUAACUACGUG